rnacentral:rRNA from 1 species
AAGGGAAACUUCGGUAAUGGGCGAAAGCCUGACGGAGCAACGAUGCGUGAGGGAUGAAGGUAUUCGGAUCGUAAAACACUGUUAAUAGGGAAGAACAAAUGUGUAAGUAACUAUGCACGUCUUGACGGUACCUAAUCAGAAAGCCACGGCGAACUACGUGCUAGCAGCCGCGGUAAUACGUAGGUGGCAAGCGUUAUCCGGAAUUAUUGGGCGUAAAGCGCGCGUAGGCGGUUUUUUAAGUCUGAUGUGAAAGCCCACGGCUCAACCGUGGAGUGUCCUUUGCAACUGGAAAACUUGCGUGCAGACGAGUAAAGUGGAAUUCCAUGUGUCGCUGUCAAAUGCACAGAGAUAUGGGGGAACACCAGUAUCGAAUGCGACUUUCUGGUCUUUAACUGACGCUACUGUGCUAAAGCGUGGGGAUCAAACAGC